CAUCGCUUUAACAAACCUCUUAAUACCAUCAAUCCGCGUCGAGCAUGAUCUGAGAUUGAUGCAUCUUAUCCCUCUGCAAGUUGGUCUCUAUGCACCUAUAAAAGGUAAGCCCUCUUUCCUUGAACAUCAUCCUCUCAAUCCGUGAUAACACCAAAGUUAAUUUUAUUGUGUGAAUGGCUAACUAAUCAAUCUUUCUUCUUUAGUGGCUUCUCGCUGCAACACAAGAAACUGCGAUGAACGGAGAGUCCUCAUCGGUUCGAAUCAGCCCUAAGCACGAAGGAGUCGUGGAGAUCUCUGAUUCUGUACCUCUCAUUCCUCCUCUCGGGAUCUCGGUCAUCAUGAUACGUGGCUAUGUGAGGAGAUGGAGUUGAGAUGAGGAUGAUAGCUCUCACUUCACCUUGAAAUAAUUGAUCGACCCGUUCAAGAUGACUGACUACUCGGUUACUCUCGGUUGACAAGGAGGCGUUUACUCACUGAAAAAUCUCUUCCGAAGUGUUUUCCUUUCCAAGAGUCUGCUCAAUUGAUUGAUUUUUCUUUUUUCACCUUCUCUGCAAAACUUUUUUGGUAGCCAAGAGUCACUUUUUAUAAACUUCAGGCUUCUGAACUCUCAUUCUAAAAAUGGAUUUUUGUGUGGUUCUCUCAUUCUAUGAUCUUUUGUUCGUCUGAUAUGUUCGAUUUCAAAAGCAAGUUGUUAUCUAAUUAAAGCAUUGUCUUUAUAGGAACAGAAGCGAUGAUGACAAGAGAAGAAAGCUGAGUCCUCUGGAAAGAAACAACACAAUAAGUAAUUUAGAAGAACAAAGGGAGCUGAAGUUGCAAGACAUGUGGACUGUCCGUUGCAUUAGCUUUUUUAUUUUAUUUCCAAGUUCAACGAAGUCAGAGCACUUCAAGUCUUUUAUAGAUUAUGUUUUGUUGCUCUAUAUUUUCUAAAUUUGCACCGCUCAGACAUUUGCAAGUUAAUAAAUUUGCACUUCCACCCA